rnacentral:rRNA from 1 species
AGGGUUCGAUUCUGGCUCAGGAUGAACGCUAGCUACAGGCUUAACGCAUGCAAGUCGAGGGCAGCGGGAGAAAGCUUGCUUCUUGCCGGCGACCGGCGCACGGGUGAGUAACGCGUAUCCAAUCUUCCCCUUAGUAGGGCAUAGCCCGUAGAAAUGCGGAUUAAUACCCUAUGUUAUUCGUCGAGGACAUCUGAAGUGAAUCAAAGGUUUACCGCUGAGGGAUGGGGGAUGCGUCCGAUUAGGCAGCAGGCGGGGUAACGGCCCACCUGGCCAACGAUCGGUAGGGGUUCUGAGAGGAAGGUCCCCCACAUUGGAACUGAGACACGGUCCAAACUCCUACGGGAGGCAGCAGUGAGGAAUAUUGGUCAAUGGGCGCGAGCCUGAACCAGCCAAGUAGCGUGCAGGACGACGGCCCUAUGGGUUGUAAACUGCUUUUAUGCGGGGAUAAAGUGAGGGACGUGUCCCUUAUUGUAGGUACCGCAUGAAUGAGGACCGGCUAAUUCCGUGCCAGCAGCGGC